GGGUUGUGAGGUUAAGCGACUAAGCGUACACGGUGGAUGCCCUGGCAGUCAGAGGCGAUGAAGGGCGUGCUAAUCUGCGAUAAGCGCCGGUAAGGUGAUAUGAACCGUUAUAACCGGCGAUACCCGAAUGGGGAAACCCAGUGUGACUCGUCACACUAUCAUUAACUGAAUCCAUAGGUUAAUGAGGCGAACCGGGGGAACUGAAACAUCUAAGUACCCCGAGGAAAAGAAAUCAACCGAGAUUCCCCCAGUAGCGGCGAGCGAACGGGGAGGAGCCCAGAGCCUGAAUCAGCAUGUGUGUUAGUGGAAGCGUCUGGAAAGGCGCGCGAUACAGGGUGACAGCCCCGUACACAAAAGCGCAUGUGCUGUGAGCUCGAUGAGUAGGGCGGGACACGUGGUAUCCUGUCUGAAUAUGGGGGGACCAUCCUCCAAGGCUAAAUACUCCUGACUGACCGAUAGUGAACCAGUACCGUGAGGGAAAGGCGAAAAGAACCCCGGCGAGGGGAGUGAAAAAGAACCUGAAACCGUGUACGUACAAGCAGUGGGAGCCCCACCACUAAGCCAGUGGUGAACUCCACAUACGCAUCCUUUGCUGAGGAUACGGUUAACGGAGCGAAAGCGACGUUCAACCUCAAAAGAAGCAGAGGGGGCUUAGUGGUGGGGUGACUGCGUACCUUUUGUAUAAUGGGUCAGCGACUUAUAUUCUGUAGCAAGGUUAACCGAAUAGGGGAGCCGGAGGGAAACCGAGUCUUAACCGGGCGUUAAGUUGCAGGGUAUAGACCCGAAACCCGGUGAUCUAGCCAUGGGCAGGUUGAAGGUUGGGUAACACUAACUGGAGGACCGAACCGACUAAUGUUGAAAAAUUAGCGGAUGACCUGUGGCUGGGGGUGAAAGGCCAAUCAAACCGGGAGAUAGCUGGUUCUCCCCGAAAGCUAUUUAGGUAGCGCCUCGUGAAUUCAUCUCCGGGGGUAGAGCACUGUUUCGGCUAGGGGGCCAUCCCGGCUUACCAACCCGAUGCAAACUGCGAAUACCGGAGAAUGUUAUCACGGGAGACACACGGCGGGUGCUAACGUCCGUCGUGAAGAGGGAAACAACCCAGACCGCCAGCUAAGGUCCCAAAGUCAUGGUUAAGUGGGAAACGAUGUGGGAAGGCCCAGACAGCCAGGAUGUUGGCUUAGAAGCAGCCAUCAUUUAAAGAAAGCGUAAUAGCUCACUGGUCGAGUCGGCCUGCGCGGAAGAUGUAACGGGGCUAAACCAUGCACCGAAGCUGCGGCAGCGACGCUGAUGCGUUGUUGGGUAGGGGAGCGUUCUGUAAGCCUGUGAAGGUGUGCUGUGAGGCAUGCUGGAGGUAUCAGAAGUGCGAAUGCUGACAUAAGUAACGAUAAAGCGGGUGAAAAGCCCGCUCGCCGGAAGACCAAGGGUUCCUGUCCAACGUUAAUCGGGGCAGGGUGAGUCGACCCCUAAGGCGAGGCCGAAAGGCGUAGUCGAUGGGAAACAGGUUAAUAUUCCUGUACUUGGUGUUACUGCGAAGGGGGGACGGAGAAGGCUAUGUUGGCCGGGCGACGGUUGUCCCGGUUUAAGCGUGUAGGUGUGUGUUCCAGGUAAAUCCGGUUCACUUUAACACUGAGGCGUGACGACGAGGCACUACGGUGCUGAAGCAACAAAUGCCCUGCUUCCAGGAAAAGCCUCUAAGCAUCAGGUAACAUCAAAUCGUACCCCAAACCGACACAGGUGGUCAGGUAGAGAAUACCAAGGCGCUUGA
rnacentral:rRNA from 1 species